rnacentral:misc_RNA from 1 species
GGCCAAGGCGCUCGCGGUGAGCCCCGACUCGAUUCAGCCUGUCGCCGCACAGGGAGCAGACAUCAUUGCCCUCGACGACCUGCUACUCACCCUGCCGAACGGCAAGCCGCUGGUGCAAGCCUCCGGCUUCAAGCUGAAAAGCGGUGAGCGCACGCUGGUCACCGGCCCCUCCGGCUCGGGAAAAUCGACGCUGUUCCGCGCCAUCGCGGGGAUCUGGCCGUUCGGCAAGGGCGCAAUCUCGAUCCCGAAGGGUGCGUCAUUGAUGAUGCUGCCGCAACGGCCUUACUUCCCGGUCGGCU